UUUUACUAAUUUAUUGAGCCAGAAUACAUGACUUUCAACAGUGCAUUUUUUUUCUUUUUUCAGAGAGCAUAGUUUUCAGAAGUAUAUUUAUUGCCUGUACUCCUGUCCAGAAGCACACUUUAGUAUCAAAAAAUUAAAAGCCAGAAGUUAUAUAAAUGAUACACAUUUCAUUUUACAUACCAUGCAAAACUAUUAACUUCAAACCAGAAGAACACCUGUACACUUGUCCAAGUCCACGUUACAUCCCCGUAAGAUAACAAGAACAUUCAAGGAGGAAAUAAUUUGGUUUUAGGAUUAAUUUAAUUUUUUUUCCUAUUAUGUUACCAUCCUUUACUGCAAAAUGUUAUCUCAGAGGGGAAUAGUGCUAAAAUUGGUGACAAACACAUAAUUGCCCACCAAAUUACCAAAUAUUUAAUUCUACCUACAUGUAUGAAUAUAAACAUAUAGAGCAGUGAGACUUCUUCCUACUGUUCCAUUUCUGAGACAUGGCUUACAGAGAAGAAGCACACAAAGAGAGACUUGAUCUCUUACAUAUGCUACAGUUGUCUCCACAGUCCAGGACACCAGACACUGUUCUGGAGUGGACUGAGCUUCAUAUAGACUCUGAUGGUAUAGACAACCUACCAGAGUCCAUUGACAGGUGUAGAAAUGUUAAGAAAAUAUAUGCAGCAUUCAGCAGGUUAUCUUCUUUGCCACAGUCCAU